AAAAGCACACGUAGACGUGACGUCAGGAUCGCUAGGACCACGCGCGUUCAUGGCGUGAGCCGGAUGACAGUGAGCGCGCUGUGAGGGAACUCUUAUCCGACCGCCACACGGAGUAUGGACUAGUAUACAUGGAGAGGCAGGCUGCUGCAUAAAGGUAGGAAAUAAUGGAAUGACUCGCCAGUCCCGACCGGAAUACGAAUAUUCAGCAGGGACAGGAUUCAGGAACAAUUCUCACAAAAAAUAAAAAGAAAAUUAAAAAAAAAAACCCAGCCUUGAAACAACAAAGGCAAAAUGAAACAGUAAUGUCAUUGUCCAAAUAAAUAAUUCUAAUUUAAAUCAAACUCUGUCUCAAUCAUUUGCACAUACAUGCAUUUUUGAAAACUUUUACAUCACUUAUUUUAAUUUAUUUUUCACAUUACAAUUCACAGUAUUUUCAAUCGAAAUAACUAAAUACACUUCCAAUAAUAAAGUUUGUAUUCACCAAGGAGAAGAAUAAAUCAGAAAAUAAAAUAAAGUUGUUUCUCCCCGGAAAAGAUGUAUAUUAUAUCUUAUUGCAUCAGUCUCCAAGUCACUUCCCGUUCAACGUCAUCACACAAUAAUAUCAUCAAAACAUCGCGUUUCUAAAACUUAUAUCACAGCUAUAAAUUUAACUUGUUUAUAAUCUAAUCGCUGGAUGAUUAAACAGGAUUCUAAUUACAGUUUGUGAAAUUGCGUCUUCUCUCGGUCAAGUUCAGUCUCGUUCUGCCUGCUUGUGCGCUAACUUUUGGCCAAAAGAUGAAGGCUACUGUUUAGAUACAAGCCGUGUAGUAGGCACUGUCUUUCUUUAAAGCCUGUGUAAAGUUCAUUACGUUUCAGUUUAUGUUCAAAAUUAAAAUCUUUGUAAAAUUAAGCGGGUGCAGCUUAUAUUUGGUUGCGCUUAAUAGUCCGGAAAUUACGGUAGUCAUUGCAACAUUUUGACCAGUAAAUUACUGCUGCCCUUUUUGCAAGAAGUCAUGAUGCAUUGCAUCUUUGUGCUUUUGUAGACUUGUCACAGAGAGGAUGUUCCGGCAUAAUCUCUACAAAAUGUUCCUGUACAAAGAUCACCUACAAAAUAAUCCUCACCUGCGACCUCAUAAGUCAGUAGUGUUCUGUAAAGGGCAUUCAGACUCCUUAAUUAGGGCAAUUUGGGUUCAGCUGACCGGAUUUAACCAGAAAGAAGUGACUAUAUAUUUAAUGUGUAUUAGAUUAAAGCGAUUGAGUAAAACAUGUGCACAUGAGCGAUUUACAUGAAACAUUUAUCAGGCCUUUAUGGAGUGCAUCUGUGUGGUUGCUCCAAACAGCCUGUAUUUCUCCAUAAAUAACCUAAUUAGUUUGUAGUAAAUCAUUCCUAAAGUUAUGUGUGAUGUUUUUUAAGUCAUCAUUGCUGAUGCAGAUAGAUGAAAGGAAUGUGUUUGUUUUGAGAUGUUUCUUUUUUUUUGCUUCUCAGAAACGGACUGAAUUUAUUUUUAAAAUUUUGGGUGUGGAGGCAAACUGGAUCAGCCACCAUGCUGGUGGAGGCCAUCAUUCUCUGGCAAAUACCUGUUACCAGGUUAUACACUCUUUGUUUUUCAAUUGAUGUGUUAAACUAAAAUAAGGGUGAAACCAGCUUUAGAUUAUAUUAGGAAUAUCUAUGAUAAAAAAAAAAAAAAAAAAAGACCGGUAAAAUGAAGGUCUGUGCAUCUGCAAGUAUCUGGCGAUACGAUACGAUGAUACAAAGGUUGCGAUUCUGUAAGCAAGGCGAUAUAUUGGGAUGUUUGUGAUUUUAGGAAAAUGAUAUCAUUUUAAGGAAAGCUAUCGCUUAAGACACAGUACCAUAUGCAAACCAUAGCAGAAAAAUAAAAAAAAUUACACAUUGGCAUCCAUUUGCAUUAAUUGCAUCUAAAACUACACUGCUCAUGCUGCAACAAACUGCAACCCCAUGUGAUGUUCCCGAGCUUUUCAAUGUCAUUUUAACGUUUCUGCCUGAAAAACAAACCGCACGUAAACAAAACAUAACGUCAGCACAUCAGCCAAUGCUGCUAUUACUAUAUAUAGUAUAGUUAUACGCCUUAUUGUUUUUACACCAGUGCCCCAUGUUAAUUAGUUCUUUAAUAUCCACAUUAUUAUUAAUUAUUAAAAAAAUAAGUUCAGAGAUAAGAAGCCUGCCAUCUGUCUAGUUGUCGAGAUAUAAAAUGAUAUCAAAACAAAACCACUGCUAUGAAUCUUGUAUGAAUAUUUAUUAUAAUAUAUAGUGUUUUUGAGAAUCGAUACAGUUAUCGCCAAACACAAUAUUGCGAUACUCACGUGUAUUUAUAUAUUUUUUUACACCCCUAGUAAAAAGUGAGUACCGUAAUUCCCGAACUAUUAAUCGCACCCAAAUAUAAGCCGCACCCACUGAAUUUUACAAAGAUUUUUAUUUUGAACAUAAAUAAGCCGCACCUUGGGAAUAGCCUGACACCGCAUUUGUUGCCAGUGCGAGUGGGAGGCAGGUCAAACGUCAGAGGAACCUCAUACAUAUUUAUGUUGUGCUGCGGCCUGAUUCAGUGGGUUCCUGAUUUAGUAUAAAGAAUUUUAAUGGUUAACUUUAACCCGUUCGGCAAUUUCCCUGGUCUAAUGUUAUGGGGCUCAGUUUUUUGGUUCGAAUCUUGUGAAACCGGGAAAAACCCAGGAAAAAUCCAUAAAUUAGCUGCUUGAUUGUUUAAGCCGCAGGUUUCAAAGCGUGGGGGAAAUGUAGCGGCUUAUAGUCCGGAAAAUACGGUAUAUUAUUGAUUAGGUGAUUUAUGAAAGGAGCAAAAACACAGAAAAAAACGAGUUCCUUUCAUCUUGUGUUUUGUUCCUUUGAGCCAAAAUAAUACAGUAUAGUAGUGAAAAAAGUGCUAAAGUAGUAGAAAUUGCUAAAUUUUGUAGCACUCUUCCAUUGUUCUUGUUGAUUUUGUUUGCAUGUGUUAGUAAUCUUUUUUGCACUAUUAUAUGCUAGGGAGUCUGUGAUCGUUUUUGCAUUAUCAGUUAUUAUCGUGCAUUCCAUUAUUUAUUAUUAUUGUUCUUUUUUUUUUUUAAAUGUAGGCUCUUCUUGCGCUGGGAAUCGGCCAGUCUGCACGUAAGCCUGACGCUGGCAAUCGGUGAGUAUAAGUACUUACAAACAAAGGAUUUCAGUCUGAAGGCUCCACAGCCAAUGUGUAAGUAGUCCGAUAUGAGACAGUUGUUUCCUUAUUCUCGUUUGUUUUAGGGGGUACAACCUUUCAAAAUUGUUACACCGCACCGGGAUGUUAAUUUUCAUGGCCGGCGCCGGGCUAUCUUUUUCGAAUGGCAUCAUUGGACUGAAACAACCUCCAAUGGAAUCUCUACUCUGGGUUAGUGAGUGUUCAUUCAACUUUAUAGAAGAGUGCAGAUAAUUGUAACAUUAUCUUUAUUAAUAUUCAUAUAAGUAAUAUCUGUGUUGCAGGCAUACUGCAUUUUAGCAGGAUCCUUUGUUUCAGAAGGAGGUAAUCCUUCUUUGAAAUUCUCCUUUAAAUUUGAAUAUACAAGUAAUAUUAAGCAUAGCUAAGCUCUUAUGUUUUGUCCAACAGUAAUGCUCACGAUAACGAUUUGUGAGCUCAGGAGGAACGCCCAGAAAAGUGGACUCUCCUUUUAUAAUUAUGGUAUGAUAUUUGAUUUAAAUGGUUUAAUUGUCAGUUUCCAGAUUUACCGUAUUUUCCGGACUAUAAGCCGCUACUUUUUCCCCCCACACUUUGAACCCCACGGCUUAAACAACGACAUGGCAAAUUUAUGGAUUUUUCCUGGGUUUUUCCCAGUUUCACAAGCUUCAAGCCAAAAAAAAUGAGCCCCGUAAAAAAUGUGGGAUAACUUUUGGAAAAUUCAGUUCAGGUUUGAUUGUGUGACAUUUAGUGCUGUUUAUAUGCAGGCUGGCAAAGCGGAUGUAAAGGCCACAGCUUGCCUGACCCUAGAGGAGCUUCUAUAACCUGGGCACAGAGUCAGUGCUAUUCUACUGCUCCACCAACAGAAUCAGGCCAGAAAAUUUUUAUCACUCCUGUGAGGGCAAUGUAUCAGUUCUGCCUCAAACCCAGGUAAAUGAGCUCAUACGUCCGCCUCGCUACAGACAUCAGAGAAGAAUCUCACUUUACUUUAGAACAUCAUCCUUCAUCUCAUCCUUGUUUAAUUUGUAAAGAUGCUAAUAAUAUAUGCUUAUUUGUAUUAUCCAUUCUAUGGUUACAUGCUGGUUGUCCUGAUGACUCGUGACACGUGUGUAUGUUUCGUAUUUGCGGAUUUUAGUAUUUUAGUGACCUAAAGCAACUGAGGAAGAUUCACAGACUCAGUCCUCAUGAUGACACAUUUUUCCAUGUCUUUUUACAUUCAGACGUGGAGGCCAAGUAUUUACUUUAUAACUUCUAAUUCAUAUUUUUUUCUUCACAUUAUGUAGUGAUUAAUUUCUUCUUGGUUGUUUUGUGGGUUGUAGAGCUCUGGACGUUUGAGGCAGUAUGGAGGCCCUUGCUCGAGAGAGGAAUCUGAGGAAAGAGGUGGAGCUACAGUUCCAAGAAGGUAUGUGCUCUCUACAACUUACUCUCUACGCCUUAUUGUUUUUACAGCAGAGCCCCAUGAAACAUGUGGAUAUUAAUUAGUUCUUUAAUAUCCACAUUAUAAUUCAUUAUUAAAAAAAUAAGUUCAGAGAUAAGAAGCCUGCUAUCUGUCUAGUGGUCGAGAUAUAAAAAGUUAUCAAAACGAAACCACUGCUAUGAAUGUAUGAAUAUUUAUUAUAAUAGUGUUUUUGAGAAUCGAUACAGUUAUCGCCAAACACAAUAUUGCAAUACUCACAUGUAUUUAUAUUUUCUUACACCCCUAGUAAAAAGUGAGUACCAUAAUUCUCGGACUAUUAAACGCACCCAAAUAUAAGCUGCACCCACUGAAUUUUACAAAGAUUUUUAUAUUAUACAUAAAUAAGCCGCACCUGUCUAAGAGCUUACAUUGAAACUAAUUAACUUUACACAGGCUUUAACAAAAGACAGUGUCUGUUACACGGUGUAACAGGUGAAAUAUGUUGUGGCUCAUUUAAGAGCAGAGCGCAUUUUGGGAAUAGCCUGCCGCUGCAUUUUCUGGUAUUACUGCGCGUGUGCAAGACCGGGGAAUAUUGAACUCUAGGUCACUGCAUAAAACACCUGUGAAACCAGUCAAACACUGGGGAUUCUUGUGGAACAGAAUCAGAAGGGACGUCUCACAGGAGCAAAAGUAAGCAAUAAGUAUAAUAGUGUAAUCUAGUAACAGUCUAUCAUCAAUUAAUCACACAAUAAAAUAGAAUAAAGAACAGAGUCAUUCAAAAGGGCAAAGACUGUUGUAUUAUGUUUCGAUUGAUUAUUUUUAGUCCCCAAUCCUUCUCUUUUAAAUUUGUAAUGACAUAAGUGAAUUGAAUAAUAAAAUCCAAAAUAACAAAAAAGGUAUAAAAAUUAAAAAACCCAAAUCAAGGUUCAGAUUCAGAGUAAAGAAACAAAACAGUAAAAUAAAUUUCACACUUUUGAAGUCAGUUCCUCAAAAACAUUCAGAUUUUAAAUUAGUUUAAAAUCAGUUUGACAAUAAUGAGCUUCAGUUUUUGCUUCAACUCAGUCUUAAUGUCCAGUUGAAUUUAAGUUCGAUGUCUCAAUUUCAAGUUCAAAAAUAUAAAGCAAGAUUCAUCAAAAAGUGGAAGAAAAAAUAUAAAAAAUUAAAUCCAGGAGAGAGGAAAAAAAAAGCAAAUGUUUGAUCCACUGACGGUCCAGGUAGAAAGAAAAACUUGGGGGG